UAAUACGAUGGGCUGGUCUGCUGACGGC
rnacentral:piRNA from 1 species